CGCAAUGGGCGAAAGCCUGACGGAGCAAUACCGCGUGAGGGACGAAGGCCUGUGGGUUGUAAACCUCUUUUCUCAGGGAAGAAGAUCUGACGGUACCUGAGGAAUCAGCAUCGGCUAACUCCGUGCCAGCAGCCGCGGUAAGACGGAGGAUGCAAGCGUUAUCCGGAAUUAUUGGGCGUAAAGCGUCCGCAGGCGGUCUCGUAAGUCUGUCUUUAAAGCGUGGAGCUUAACUCCAUAAAGGGGAUGGAAACUGCGAGACUAGAGGUAGGUAGGGGUAGAAGGAAUUCCCAGUGUAGCGGUGAAAUGCGUAGAUAUUGGGAAGAACCCCAGCAGCGAAGGCGUUCUACUGGACCAAACCUCUUUGCGACGAUGGCCGGAAA
rnacentral:rRNA from 1 species